GCAUUGGUGGUUCAGUGGUACAAUGCUCGCCUGCCACGUGGGAGACCUAGAGUCGAUUUCUGGCUAAAACA
rfam:Danio rerio chromosome 4, GRCz11 reference primary assembly.